ACAGCAGUCGCCGCGGUAAUACGUAGGGGGCAAGCGUUAUCCGGAAUUACUGGGUGUAAAGGGAGCGUAGACGGUUAAACAAGUCUGAAGUGAAAUGCCGGGGCUCAACCCCGGAGCUGCUUUGGGAACUGUAGAACUGGAGUGUCGGAGGGGUAAGCGGAAUUCCCAGUGUAGCGGUGAAAUGCGUAGAUAUUGGAGGGAACACCGGCGGCGAAGGCGGCUUACUGGACGACAACUGACGUUGAGGCUCGAAGGCGUGGGUAGCAAACAGGAUUAGAUACCCCAGUAGUCCCUGUCUCUUAUAC
rnacentral:rRNA from 1 species